rnacentral:rRNA from 1 species
AUACGGAGGAUCCGAGCGUUAUCCGGAUUUAUUGGGUUUAAAGGGUGCGCAGGCGGGAGAUUAAGUCGGCGGUGAAAUUUUGCAGCUCAACUGUAAAAGUGCCUUCGAAACUGGUUUUCUUGAGUGUAGAUGAAGUAGGCGGAAUUUGUGGUGUAGCGGUGAAAUGCAUAGAUAUCACGAGGAAAUCCGAUUGCGCAGGCAGCUUACUAAACUACUACUGACGCUCAGGCACGAAGGCGUGGGGAUCAAACAGGAUUAGAUACCCUGGUAGUCCACGCAGUAAACGAUGAUUACUAGCUGUUUGCGAUACAAUGUAAGCGGCUGAGCGAAAGCGUUAAGUAAUCCACCUGGGGAGUACGUUCGCAAGAAUGAAACUCAAAUGAAUUGACGGGG